UGAGGAAUAUUGGUCAAUGGGCGUGAGCCUGAACCAGCCAAGUAGCGUGCAGGAAGACGGCCCUAUGGGUUGUAAACUGCUUUUAUGCGGGGAUAAAGGAGUCCACGUGUGGAUUUUUGCAGGUACCGCAUGAAUAAGGACCGGCUAAUUCCGUGCCAGCAGCCGCGGUAAUACGGAAGGUCCGGGCGUUAUCCGGAUUUAUUGGGUUUAAAGGGAGCGUAGGCUGUUUGUUAAGCGUGUUGUGAAAUGUAGGAGCUCAACUUUUAGAUUGCAGCGCGAACUGGCAGACUUGAGUGCGCACAACGUAGGCGGAAUUCAUGGUGUAGCGGUGAAAUGCUUAGAUAUCAUGACGAACUCCGAUUGCGAAGGCAGCUUACGGGAGCGCAACUGGCGCUAAAGCUCGAAGGUGCGGGUAUCGAACAGG
rnacentral:rRNA from 1 species